AUGAUGGAUCUGCGUGUCUCUGUUGUUCUUCUGCUUGUUUUACUCACUGGAGGAUACUCUCUGAAGUGUUACACAUGCUUAUCUGGGGAUCAGACGGGUUCCUGUGAUGCAAAAGUGGAGAUAUGUGGAGAUGGAUUUUCCAAAUGUGAAAGCAAAACAGUAGAACGAUCCAUUGGUUCCGCUAAGGUGUCCAUCAAAACUAAACAGUGUGCACUUAAAUGUGAACCUGGUACCCAACAACUCCUGACUGGGCCAAUAACUACCCACUGCUGUGACACUGACCUCUGCAAUGCUGCAGAUGGCGUGUAUAAGGGAAACUUCCUCCUGCUGUUGUCUCCUCUGCUCUUCUACUUCCUGUUUCAGUGAAUCCAGCUGCACUUCAGAUUCUACAGCUGCAACAGAAACUGAAUGGCAAACACAUUUUUCUAUUCUUCAAUAAAUAAAUAAAGCUUGUCA
ensembl:lncRNA